rnacentral:rRNA from 1 species
CCCAAAACACCUAGCUACGCCACACCCACACGGGAAUUCAGCAGUGAUUAACAUUGAAAAUAAGCGACAGCUUGAUUCAGUUAAAGUAAAAAGAGCCGGCUAAUCCGGUGCCAGCCGCCGCGGCUACACCACGAGGCUCAAAUUGAUACCCUUCGGCGUAAAGCGUGUUUAAAGUCAUUAAUAAUUUAUAGCUAAACUAAAACUAAGCUGUGAUAAGCUUGUACUUAGGAAGACCAAAACGAAAGUUGCUAUAAUUAAAACAACUUGAAUCCACGACAGUUAGGGCACAAACUGGGAUUAGAUACCUCACUAUGCUUAACCGUAAACUUUAAAUUACCCCCCCAUCGCCCGGGAACUACGAGCAAAGCUUAAAACCCAAAGGACUUGACGGUACCCCACAUCCACCUAGAGGAGCCUGUCCUAUAAUCGAUAAUCCCCGUUCUACCUCACCACUUUUAGCUUAUCAGCCUGUAUACUUCCGUCGCCAGCUUACCCCGUGAGUGACCCUCAGUAAGCUGCUUACCCAUACGCCAAUACGUCAGGUCAAGGUGCAGCAAAUAAAGUGGAAAGAGAUGGGCUACACUCUCUAAUCUAGAAUAUACAGAAGACUAUAUAUGAAACCUAGUCAGAAGGCGGAUUUAGUAGUAAAAAGAGACAAGAGUGCUCUUUUUAAUAUGGCACUGGGGUGUGUACAGACCGCCCGUCACUCUCUUCAAAGCUAAUAUAUAGUUCUUAACACACUUAAGCAUUAAAGAAGAGAUAAGUCGUAACAUGGUAAGUAUACCGGAAGGUGUUCUUGGAAA